GACGAACGCUGGCGGCGUGCUUAACACAUGCCAGUCGAACGGAAAGGCCCUGCUUUUGUGGGGUGCUCGAGUGGCGAACGGGUGAGUAACACGUGAGUAACCUGCCCUUGACUUUGGGAUAACUUCAGGAAACUGGGGCUAAUACCGGAGAGGAGCUCCUGCUGCAUGGUGGGGGUUGGAAAGUUUCGGCGGUUGGGGAUGGACUCGCGGCUUAUCAGCUUGUUGGUGGGGUAGUGGCUUACCAAGGCUUUGACGGGUAGCCGGCCUGGGAGGGUGACCGGGCACCUUGGGACUGAGAGACGGACCAGACUCCUACGGGCGGCAGCAGUGGGGAAUAUUGCACAAUGGGCGGAAGCCUGAUGCAGCAACGCCGCGUGCGGGAUGCCCGCCUUCGGGGUGUAAACCGCUUUCGCCUGUGACGAAGCGUGAGUGACGGUAAUGGGUAAAGAAGCACCGGCUAACUACGUG
rnacentral:rRNA from 1 species